rnacentral:rRNA from 1 species
AACGAACGCUGGCGGCAUGCCUAACACAUGCAAGUCGAACGAGACCUUCGGGUCUAGUGGCGCACGGGUGCGUAACGCGUGGGAACCUGCCCUUAGGUUCGGAAUAACUCCCCGAAAGGGGUGCUAAUACCGGAUAAUGUCUUCGGACCAAAGAUUUAUCGCCUUUGGAUGGGCCCGCGUUGGAUUAGCUAGUUGGUAGGGUAAAAGCCUACCAAGGCGACGAUCCAUAGCUGGUCUGAGAGGAUGGUCAGCCACACUGGGACUGAGACACGGCCCAGACUCCUACGGGAGGUAGCAGUGGGGAAUAUUGGACAAUGGGCGAAAGCCUGAUCCAGCAAUGCCGCGUGAGUGAUGAAGGCCUUAGGGUUGUAAAGCUCUUUUACCCGGGAUGAUAAUGACAGUACCGGGAGAAUAAGCUCCGGCUAACUCCGUG